rnacentral:rRNA from 1 species
UACGUAGGGCGCGAGCGUUGUCCGGAAUUAUUGGGCGUAAAGAGCUCGUAGGCGGUUUGUCGCGUCGGAUGUGAAAGCCCAUGGCUUAACUGUGGGUCUGCAUUCGAUACGGGCAGACUAGAGGUAGGUAGGGGAGCAUGGAAUUCCCGGUGUAGCGGUGAAAUGCGCAGAUAUCGGGAGGAACACCGGUGGCGAAGGCGGUGCUCUGGGCCUUACCUGACGCUGAGGAGCGAAAGCGUGGGGAGCGAACAGGAUUAGAUACCCUGGUAGUCCACGCCGUAAACGUUGGGCGCUAGGUGUGGGGUUCUUCCACGGAUUCCGCGCCGUAGCUAACGCAUUAAGCGCCCCGCCUGGGGAGUACGGCCGCAAGGCUAAA